UUUUAAUGAGAGUUUGAUCCUGGCUCAGGACGAACGCUGGCGGCGUGCCUAAUACAUGCAAGUAGAACGCUGAUGUNUGGUGUUUACACUAGACUGAUGAGUUGCGAACGGGUGAGUAACGCGUAGGUAACCUGCCUCAU
rnacentral:rRNA from 1 species